UUAAGCGACUAAGCGUACACGGUGGAUGCCCUGGCAGUCAGAGGCGAUGAAGGACGUGCUAAUCUGCGAAAAGCGUCGGUAAGGUGAUAUGAACCGUUAUAACCGGCGAUGUCCGAAUGGGGAAACCCAGUGCAAUUCGUUGCACUAUCGUUAACUGAAUACAUAGGUUAACGAGGCGAACCGGGGGAACUGAAACAUCUAAGUACCCCGAGGAAAAGAAAUCAACCGAGAUUCCCCCAGUAGCGGCGAGCGAACGGGGAGCAGCCCAGAGUCUGAAUCAGCUUGUGUGUUAGUGGAACGGUCUGGAAAGUCCGACGGUACAGGGUGAUAGUCCCGUACACCAAAAUGCACAGGCUGUGAACUCGAAGAGUAGGGCGGGACACGUGGUAUCCUGUCUGAAUAUGGGGGGACCAUCCUCCAAGGCUAAAUACUCCUGACUGACCGAUAGUGAACCAGUACCGUGAGGGAAAGGCGAAAAGAACCCCGGCGAGGGGAGUGAAAAAGAACCUGAAACCGUGUACGUACAAGCAGUGGGAGCACCUUCGGGUGUGACUGCGUACCUUUUGUAUAAUGGGUCAGCGACUUAUAUUCUGUAGCAAGGUUAACCGUAUAGGGGAGCCGCAGGGAAACCGAGUCUUAACUGGGCGUUAAGUUGCAGGGUAUAGACCCGAAACCCGGUGAUCUAGCCAUGGGCAGGUUGAAGGUUGGGUAACACUAACUGGAGGACCGAACCGACUAAUGUUGAAAAAUUAGCGGAUGACUUGUGGCUGGGGGUGAAAGGCCAAUCAAACCGGGAGAUAGCUGGUUCUCCCCGAAAGCUAUUUAGGUAGCGCCUCGUGAAUUCAUCUUCGGGGGUAGAGCACUGUUUCGGCUAGGGGGUCAUCCCGACUUACCAACCCGAUGCAAACUACGAAUACCGAAGAAUGUUAUCACGGGAGACACACGGCGGGUGCUAACGUCCGUCGUGAAGAGGGAAACAACCCAGACCGCCAGCUAAGGUCCCAAAGUCAUGGUUAAGUGGGAAACGAUGUGGGAAGGCACAGACAGCCAGGAUGUUGGCUUAGAAGCAGCCAUCAUUUAAAGAAAGCGUAAUAGCUCACUGGUCGAGUCGGCCUGCGCGGAAGAUGUAACGGGGCUAAACCAUGCACCGAAGCUGCGGCAGCGACACUAUGUGUUGUUGGGUAGGGGAGCGUUCUGUAAGCCUGCGAAGGUGUGCUGUGAGGCAUGCUGGAGGUAUCAGAAGUGCGAAUGCUGACAUAAGUAACGAUAAAGCGGGUGAAAAGCCCGCUCGCCGGAAGACCAAGGGUUCCUGUCCAACGUUAAUCGGGGCAGGGUGAGUCGACCCCUAAGGCGAGGCCGAAAGGCGUAGUCGAUGGGAAACAGGUUAAUAUUCCUGUACUUGGUGUUACUGCGAAGGGGGGACGGAGAAGGCUAUGUUAGCCGGGCGACGGUUGUCCCGGUUUAAGCAUGUAGGCUGGUUAUCCAGGCAAAUCCGGAUAAUCAAGGCUGAGGUGUGAUGACGAGGCACUACGGUGCUGAAGUAACAAAUGCCCUGCUUCCAGGAAAAGCCUCUAAGCAUCAGGUAACAUUAAAUCGUACCCCAAACCGACACAGGUGGUCAGGUAGAGAAUACCAAGGCGCUUGAGAGAACUCGGGUGAAGGAACUAGGCAAAAUGGUGCCGUAACUUCGGGAGAAGGCACGCUGGUGUGUAGGUGAAGUCCCUGCGGAUGGAGCUGAGACCAGUCGAAGAUACCAGCUGGCUGCAACUGUUUAUUAAAAACACAGCACUGUGCAAACACGAAAGUGGACGUAUACGGUGUGACGCCUGCCCGGUGCCGGAAGGUUAAUUGAUGGGGUUAUCCGUAAGGAGAAGCUCUUGAUCGAAGCCCCGGUAAACGGCGGCCGUAACUAUAACGGUCCUAAGGUAGCGAAAUUCCUUGUCGGGUAAGUUCCGACCUGCACGAAUGGCGUAAUGAUGGCCAGGCUGUCUCCACCCGAGACUCAGUGAAAUUGAACUCGCUGUGAAGAUGCAGUGUACCCGCGGCAAGACGGAAAGACCCCGUGAACCUUUACUAUAGCUUGACACUGAACAUUGAGCCUUGAUGUGUAGGAUAGGUGGGAGGCUUUGAAGCGUGGACGCCAGUCUGCGUGGAGCCAACCUUGAAAUACCACCCUUUAAUGUUUGAUGUUCUAACGUUGGCCCCUGACCGGGGUUGCGGACAGUGUCUGGUGGGUAGUUUGACUGGGGCGGUCUCCUCCCAAAGCGUAACGGAGGAGCACGAAGGUUAGCUAAUCCUGGUCGGACAUCAGGAGGUUAGUGCAAUGGCAUAAGCUAGCUUGACUGCGAGCGUGACGGCGCGAGCAGGUGCGAAAGCAGGUCAUAGUGAUCCGGUGGUUCUGAAUGGAAGGGCCAUCGCUCAACGGAUAAAAGGUACUCCGGGGAUAACAGGCUGAUACCGCCCAAGAGUUCAUAUCGACGGCGGUGUUUGGCACCUCGAUGUCGGCUCAUCACAUCCUGGGGCUGAAGUAGGUCCCAAGGGUAUGGCUGUUCGCCAUUUAAAGUGGUACGCGAGCUGGGUUUAGAACGUCGUGAGACAGUUCGGUCCCUAUCUGCCGUGGGCGCUGGAGAAUUGAGGGGGGCUGCUCCUAGUACGAGAGGACCGGAGUGGACGCAUCACUGGUGUUCGGGUUGUCAUGCCAAUGGCACUGCCCGGUAGCUAAAUGCGGAAGAGAUAAGUGCUGAAAGCAUCUAAGCACGAAACUUGCCCCGAGAUGAGUUCUCCCUGAGACUUUAAGUCUCCUGAAGGAACGUUGAAGACGACGACGUUGAUAGGCCGGGUGUGUAAGCGCAGCGAUGCGUUGAGCUAACCGGUACUAAUGAACCGUGAGGCUUAACCUU
rnacentral:rRNA from 1 species